ensembl:lncRNA
UAGCAUUUUCCCAAGAUGACUUAGACUUUGUGUAUUUUAGUAACUUUCUGGUUUUACAUCACUUUCAGGUAGCUGAUACAGACUUCUGAAUGUUAAUAUUAUGACCUCAAUGUACAAGAUUGUAGAGGAAAAAAAAAUUUAUUUUAAAAAACUACCUUACUUAAAUUCUUAAAUGUUCCAUUCUACUUGCCCAAAAAGCUCUGAAAAAACCUUUCUGUGUUUCAUAAGAAAAAAAAAACCCAUCUUUUUCAUCUAAAGUUUCUUUAUAUGAGAAGAGUCAGAAAGAUUUAUCUCAAAUCUAGAAAAAAAAAGUAUUUUUAUCCAAAGGGCAAUGCUAUUCUGAAAAUUUUGCCCAGGUACUAAAGCCCUUAGUGAAGUAACUUACUAGAAAUUCUAUUCAUACACACAAAUGAAUACAACUGUCUAGACCGCUUCCGAGAAAUGAGGUAUUUGUCUGGCAGGACAAUUCCCUGAAAAAAAUGGGUUUGGGGGAAAUCGUCAGGCCCUCUUAUCUUCCCUCUUACCUAUUCUAUGCAAAACUCCAUGUCAUUUUGUGUCCGGAAUUGGUAGGUUCUUCCUCUCGCUGACUUCAAGAAUGAAGCCGUGGACCCUGGCAGUGAGUGUUACUGUUUUUAAAGAUGGUGUGUCCGAAGUUUGUUCCUUCUGAUGUUCGGACGUGUUGGGAGUUUCUUCCUUCUGGUGGGUUCGUGGUCUUGCUGACUUCAGGAGUGAAGCUUCAGACCUUCCUAGCCAGUGUUACAGCUUAUAAAGGUGAUGUGGACCCAGAGAGUGAGCAGCAGCAAGAUCUAUUGCAAACUGCAACAGAACAAAGCUUCUACAGCAUGGAACGAUCCAGAUGAAGGUACCCCAGGCAGUUUGAGAUGUAAUGAUGGAGACCAGUUUGAGAAGACCCACCAUCUCUAAUUUCCCUCUGAUUAUGAAGUAAUACAACAAAGCUACAGUAAGUGAACUGAUAUGGUGGUGAACGCAAACUGUUUCUAACUUCUCUCAUUUUCUGGCUGGUGUUUUUAAAGGUAGCGUGGCAUUUCAUUAGCAUACGAUUUAGUCUAUUUCUAAAUUUAAAACAUUUAUAUAUCUGUUAUUUUCACACAUUAGGAAGGAUGUUAAAGAUACCUAUUUCUGUUUUUAGUAAAUAAAGCUUAUUGAAAGUCUUUUUUGUAUUUGUUAAGAAUCUUUUUCACUAACAAUGGUUAUUUUCUAAUACUGGAGUACAGAUACUUCCAUGGGUCAUUGAUGUCAGCAAAGCUUGCUUGGCUAGGCAUUCUCAUUCGUAUAAAUUACUCUGAUGGUAAUCCGGCUAUUUCCAAACACAGUGAUCUCUUCUGAGUUCAUCCUUACUCUUUGCAGCUGGCUCCUUCUUUAUGGCCAAAUCACUUGGCUCUGGGUGGGUUUUCUUCUAUUGCUUCUCAAACUUCCACUCUAAUUUGAAUUAGCAUUUGUAAAAUCACUGCCCAAAUUUCUGAUUGUAAUCUUAACAAGCGUGUAAAGACAAUAAAAACAAAAGAUGUUGCAUAAUUUUUGUUGUAAAAAGGUAAAUCCUACCGCCUUCUGUGAUAUAUUCAAUAAUGAAUUUGUUCCUUUCCUAAAUUUCUAUUGCAAUUUUUGCAGCAUGUUUUUUAUUUUUGCUUUGCAUUAUAUAUACGUAUUUGUAUGCACAUCUUAG